rnacentral:lncRNA from 10 species
AGGAGUGGGGGACACAGGUACUGGGAGAGAGUAGAGACACAGAGACAAGAGAGAAAAGGCAACAAAGACAAAGCCAGAGACGCCCAGCCCGAGAGACAGAGCCACACGGAGAGAAUGGAGAGGGGAGCAGGGUCAGAGGGCCCGGACGACGCAGAGAAGGACGCGAAAGGACCCUUUUAUUGAAGCGUAAUACAUAUACAGAAAAAUUCACCUAUCAUAAGUAUGCAUCUUGGUAAAUUUUCACAAGGAAUAUACCCAUGGAACCAACAUCCAGAUCAAAAUCUGUCAGGCGUCUAGCACCCAGAAGCCCCUGCGGGUCCCUGCCAGUUACUAUGUGCCCCCAAGGCUGACCACUGUCCUGUCUUCUGGUACCACAGGUUUGUUUUGCCUGUUUUUUGAACUUUAUAAAUGCAAGUGUACAGUAUGAACUGUGUCGUGU